AUGGUGAUUUUUUUCACUAAGCAACUAUUACAUGAAGGUAAACAGUGGUUCUUGGAACUCUAUGCAUGUUCUAUUAAUACUACCCUUCAAAUGCAGCAUUGCUAUCUUGCUCCUAUGGCUGCAUGUCUACUUCAGUUCAUGCAAUCUGGACCAUAUGAACUAGUCUGCUGCGAUGAAAUCAGGUGUCUCUUCAGUACACUUGACCUUUGCAUGGAGAAAAAUUCACAAAAAAAAAUUAUGCUGCCAUGUAAUCUUUGGCUGGACAAGGGCUGCCUUAAGCGUCACAUGGCUCAUAGAGGAAUCAACUCAAAAAUGCUGGAACCAUCAGGUCUUCUUUGUGUACAGCCAGCAUGUUAUUUUGUGGUUGGCUACGAUCAAACUUAUCUGAAACUGAAUGAAGUCAGUGCGGUUAUCGACAUGUUUGAAAAUAGAACUAACCAGGACUGGGAGUUGCUUCUUUGUUUUAAGCAUCCACCUGACCAGCAACCAAGGAGGAGUGCACUCAAUUAG
rnacentral:rRNA from 1 species